rnacentral:lncRNA from 1 species
UGAAGUGUAUUAAUUAUUCAAGUCGAAGUUCGGAUUUUUAAAUUAAAUUAAGACAUCUUGCUAAUGUUAAAUUUUGAAUGACUUAUACAAGGGACAAGAUUUUGUAUAGAUUUAUUGAUUAAUAUUAAGGAUUGUAAUGAAGGGAGUUCUAUAAGAAAUAAUCAAGUUGAUUCUACUUAAGGAUGCUGGCUUGAGUUCUUCUAGUUUGUCAAGUUAGAAUUAAUUCUUUUAAAAAGGAAGAUUAAUUUAGAAAUUAUCUAAAUGAUUGUAAGAUAAAUCUAAGGUUAACUCCAAUUGAUUCUAGAUAUGUUAGAUUCUUGAAGAGUGAUGAAACUUAUGCAAUGAUUUCAAACAUAGAAAGUGGAUCAAGAUUUAAUUUUUAUAUGCUAUACCCAAAGGUAGUAAAGAUAAAGAAAUUUAAAAUUUUGCCCUAAGUCUUAUAUGAAAUUUGAAGGUUAGAUGUAUCCUGGAUUGAUCUAACAUAUGAGGAUAUUUUUAUCUUUGAUAGACUUAUAUAAUUGAUAAAUUAAGAUCAGAGUGUGCAGCAAAAGCGUGAUGGAUUAAAUUGAUUAGAAAUAUUAAUCUUUAAAAUCAAAAGAUAUUAUGAUGAAAUAUAUUAGUUGCAAAUAAGGAAGGAUUUUAUUGAUAAUGAAAGGAUACUAUAAAUUUUGAUCUAAUCUGAUCAUAGCCGGAUAAUCUUGUCAGUAGGUUGCUUCAUUGUAGAUAAUGCCAAGAAAUUCUAGAUAUCUCAAGUUUAUUAAUAGCU